rnacentral:tRNA from 1 species
GAUCGGGUGGCCGAACGGUUAGGCAAAAUUCAGCAAAACUUUAUAUAGUGGUUCAAUCCACUCUCGACCU